UACGUAGGGUGCAAGCGUUGUCCGGAAUUAUUGGGCGUAAAGAGCUCGUAGGCGGCUUGUCACGUCGGGUGUGAAAGCCCGGGGCUUAACCCCCGGGUCUGCAUUCGAUACGGGCUAGCUAGAGUGUGGUAGGGGAGAUCGGAAUUCCUGGUGUAGCGGUGAAAAUGCGCAGAUAUCAGGAGGAACACCGGUGGCGAAGGCGGAUCUCUGGGCCAUUACUGACGCUGAGGAGCGAAAGCGUGGGGAGCGAACAGG
rnacentral:rRNA from 1 species